rnacentral:lncRNA from 1 species
CGAAAUUCUGUUCGUAUCUUUUAGACAUCGUAUGGCCAUCGCGCCAUCAUUGUAAUCCAUCGUGUAGCCUUCGUAAUCCAUCGUGUAGCCUUCGUGAUCCAUCGUGUAGGCUUCGGCUGAUAUAUGAAGCUUAAAUACCCGUCUUCGGUUAACCUUCGUAUGUCCAUCUUUUGCUAUCGUAUAUAAUUUCGGCACCAUCGUAUAGACUUCGUUAUUCAUCGUACUUGCUUAGGUCACUUUUUGGUAUUUUAACGAGAUCGGGA